ACCACAUUUAAAACAGAAACCACUUUACAAGGUGGAGCCACUCAAAACACAUAAGUCGGUCGAGCAGCCCUUGCCUGCAAUCUAUUAACCCCUUCAACAGUCAGGGUUAGUAACACAUUGAAAUCCCUUGCAGCGAUAAAGGGAUCAUGAGAAUUGUCCUUGAUGUGGAACCUCUUGAUGACGGACACAGUGUUCCCAAUUCAUGCAGUAGACAGUUUGUUUGUGUAAUGGUAUCUGUGGUAUCUACAAUAACUGUCCUUCUAGGAUUUUGGCACUGGAUGUUUAACCUAUUAAGAUGAUGUUGAAUCUGCUUCUACCAAGAAAUGUCCCUUCUCCGAAGCCCAAUCAGUUCUCGGCAGAGGGCAUCAAUUAGUUUAUGUAAGAGUGAUACAGUAAGUAAGGCCAAAAAGGGCAAAUACAAUCUUGUUCUGCAGCUGUAACAUACAUCAAUGAGUUAUUGAAGGAAAAAUAUAAAACAUUGUUUAGCGUUAUGUAAUGUGAAUUCCAUGUCCUUACUUCUUCAGAACUUGUUAAAAGUACUAUCGCCCAUUUUAAUACCAAUCUCAUCGCCUGCCAUGACUAGUUACUGGGUUACAAGGCAGUUUCCAUUGGCAACCAGUGUACAACAGCUAGAACACUCAUUGAUAAAUGAACCAAUAUCACAAUGGACGCACAGAAUUACUGCCUACACACAGCUACCUAGUAACAUGAGUGUCACUAUUAAAAGGUCCAAGGAAAAUCAGAAUACAGACCUUAUGGUACAGACAUAGUACACUGCAUGAGUGUAUAUCAAAACAGGUCUUACCCUAACAUCCUGCAUAUUUUUAAAGCAAUGUUGCUAUACAUAUAAGUGCACUAUGUUUGGUAUAAUUGUAACUGUUAAAGGGACACUCCAGGCACCAUAACAAUUUCAUCUCAUUGAAGUGGUUGUGGUUCACGGAGUCUGCUGGUAAAGUCCCACUAUUUAUUGUUAAACCAUUUUCAAUCAAGUUAACAGUAAAUCCCAUCACCUGUAGCCUGGCCCUUCUCUGUCAUUUUGGCAUUAAUCAGAUCAGAGAUCGGCAGCAGUGAAUGACAGUGUGUAUCAACUGUUUAAAGUCGGCCUAACUGUGGUAUAUCCAGUGGCGAGUUAUACUUUGCAUUAACAAUAGUUCCAUGGGGGUGAGGGUUGAGGGGGGUGGAGCCACAGGAAGCUGGGUGCCGUCAGUCAGUGUCAAUCUAAUCAAGAACAGUUCAACACUGAACUGUGGGAAGGUACCAGGGGACUCCAGCGACCAAAGCCAAUUCAAUUAGAUGAAGUGGUUAUAGUGUCUAUAGUGUUCUUUUAAAAGUGUUUUGCUAUUUUCUGUCUGUAUUAUGUUAUAUAUAUAUAAGUAUAAUUCUACUAUCCUACUCUCCACGGAUGAGUAGGAAAAUAUAGCAGAUUAUAAAUGAUAAAUAUGAUAAUUAAUAUCCAUUUUGAUUUGAAUAAGGCCAACGGUGGACUAGUACAAUUUUUUUUGCCGUUAGUAAAACAAAUUCCUAUUAUAUAUUUGCACAUAUAACUUAUGAUCUACUGUAGAGCACUGCAGAAUAUGUUGGCUAUCUAUAAAUAAUACUAUAUACUAAAAGUGAGUUGACACUUAGUGGAAAAAAAUCAAACUGUAUCUAAAAAUUCUCCAGUUCUUCUUUUGACCAAAAAUUUUGAAGACCAGUUCUCUGCAAACAACAAGUUAAUUCAAUAUUGAAAAAGAUGUUUCUGUUGUGGUAAUAUCUGUGUAAAUGUAUAAAAUGCAUAAAGUUCUGCAGAGUAUGGUUAAUAUUUGAUCAGCAUUGUGAAUAUAUUAUUACUAUCAAAAUUUAUAUUGUGCCAACAUAGCCCGCAGCUCUUUAAAUUUAAUCAUGAGACUGAAACAAAUUAGACAGGGUUCAAGAGGUGGCAAGCACAACUCAGUCAGGCUUACAUUUGUACACAGACAAGAUUAAGUCAAUAUUCCGAGAAUAUACCUGUAAUACUUUUGGCAAAAAAGGCUUUUUAAACUGGAAUAUUUGAAGAUAGUUCUGAGAAACAUUUGAACACUUAGCUACUAAUAGCAGACUGAGCCUGAUAUUUCAUAAAAUAUUUAAAUGUAAACUUGCAACUCAAAAAUCAUCAAAAUAAAUUUUCAUAGAUGUCUGUUAAAUCCUAAAACAUUUAACAUUGCAUGUAUAUAACUCAGACCAAUAUAGCAGUGAUCCUAUAGACUGCAAGCUCGUUUGAGCAGGGUUCUCUUCAACCUAUCGUUCCUGUAAGUUUUCUUGUAAUUGUCCUAUUUAUAGUUAAAUACCCCACUCUCGUAAUAUUGUAAAGUGCUACGGAAUCUGUUGGCGCUAUAUAAAUGGCUAUAAUAAUACGACAUACAGUAUGACUUAGCAUGGACAAAAAAAAGUAAUGCCUUUAUUAAUGGUCAUAUAACUGUGUUGUUACUUUGACAUGUCUGCUACAUUAGCAAUAUAAGACAUUUAGCGUUUAUCAUAACAUUUCAUUAGUAAUACGAAGCCACAAAAACAAAUGUUUUUGUAAAUACAGUCAGAAGUGUGACACGUAGAGGCAUCGUUGCAUAGUGAGAUGACUUUAUACAUCAGUAGGGGAAUAUAGCAGACUUGCUCGAAUGACAACACAUAGUUUGAUAUGACUGUGAAAUUAGCAACUAUUCUUUUACGACUUUACUGUCCAUUGAAAAGAGAUUUAUAUAGCUCAGCUAUACCGAGCAAAUGUUUCUUUGAGUUACAUUUUAGGGAUUGAUGGGCAGAUGGGAUCUGGCUGUGUAACUGUCAGCUUUUCAUGACAUCGCAUUCAGGUGAGAGUACUGCUUCUCAGCCAUCUGUCUAAAUGUAGCCAUUAUUGUGUUAUAAUGUUGCCAUUAUAUGAUACACUGCAUGAAUUCACAUUUACACAGCUGCCCAUUCAUGAUCUCACCUGCAUUCUGUACGUUGUAUCAUAACAUUUGUAUCAUAGUGUACCUAUAGGCUUUAUAUUUGUUAAAUUUGUAGUGUCUCUUUAUAAGCUCUUUAUAAUAUUAUGUGUCUAGAUAGAAGGGUAGUGGGAGUUGCCACCUAGACCACUCCAAUGGGCAGAAGUGGUCUGGGUGUCUGGAGUAUCCCUUUAAAGGGACACUGUAGUCACCAAAACAACUUUACCUUACUGAAGUAGUUUUGGUGCACAUAUCUUACAUUUGAAGUCUCACUGUUCAAUUCUCUGCCAUUUAGGAGUUAAAUCACUUUUGUUUCUGUCCAUGCUGCCCUAUCCACACCUCCCCUGGCUGUGUCUCUCACAGCCUGCAUGAAAAAAACAACCAGUUUCAUUUUCAGAUGUUAACUUACUUUAUAGGUUUCUAUUGCAUGCUCUGUAAAUUAAACUUUAAUCACAUGCACAGAAAACUCCUGCAAUGUCUAGCAAGCAAUUAACAGUGCAGGAGAUAAAACAUUUUCUAAAUUCAACAGACUGUGCAAUAAAGGAAGUAUAAACAUUACAUCUCACUUUACAGGAAGUACUUGGAUAUGACUAGGUCUAUAUAAAUAAAGUGAUUUAACUCCUAAAUGACAGUGAAUUGAGCAGUAAAACUGCAGGUGCAUGAUCUAUUAUAUACACGAAAACUGCUUUGUUAAGUUAAAGUUGUUUUGGUACCUAUAGUGUCACCAAAGGAGCCAUUACUUAAAAAAAAAAAAAAAAAAAAAUAUUAUAUGCUCAUUUUAUAGAGGCAAAACCAAACUCCUUUUUAAGAAUCAUCUGAAAUUUUAAGCAAAUUAUUUUUAAAUAACUUACUUGGGUAGUCACUAAAGUGA
rnacentral:lncRNA from 1 species